AACGCACAUUGCGCCCCUUGGUAUUCCGAGGGGCAUGCCUGUUCGAGCGUCAUUACAACCCUCAAGCACUGCUUGGUAUUGGGCUCCGCUGGUUUCAGCGGGCCUUAAAAUCAGUGGCGGCGCCGUCUGAGCUCUGAGCGUAGUAAAUACCCUCGCUAUAGAGACCAGGUGGUUCUUGUCAUCAACCCCCAACUUUCUAAGUUUGACCUCGGAUCAGGUAGGGAUACCCGCUGAACUUAA
rnacentral:misc_RNA from 1 species